rnacentral:tRNA from 1 species
GCAGUCGUGGCCUAACUGGUUAGGGCUUCAGGCUUAUAACCAAGGGUUGGCGGUUCGAUCCCCGACCAGUAGGA